GACGAACGCUGGCGGCAUGCCUAAUACAUGCAAGUCGAGCGAAUGACGAAGAAGCUUGCUUCUUCUGAUUUAGCGGCGGACGGGUGAGUAACACGUGGGCAACCUGCCCUGUAGAUUGGGAUAACUCCGGGAAACCGGGGCUAAUACCGAAUAAUCCAUUUCCUCACAUGGGGAGAUGUUAAAAGACGGUUUCGGCUGUCACUACAGGAUGGGCCCGCGGCGCAUUAGCUAGUUGGUGAGGUAACGGCUCACCAAGGCGACGAUGCGUAGCCGACCUGAGAGGGUGAUCGGCCACACUGGGACUGAGACACGGCCCAGACUCCUACGGGAGGCAG
rnacentral:rRNA from 1 species